AACGAACGCUGGCGGCAUGCUUAACACAUGCAAGUCGAACGGAUAGCUUGCUAUCAGUGGCGCACGGGUGAGUAACACGUGGGAACCUACCUUUUAGUUUGGGAUAACUUUGGGAAACUAAGGCUAAUACCGGAUACGCUUUGCAGCUUGGCGCUGUAAAGGAAAGAUUUAUCGCUAAAAGAUGGGCCCGCGGUGGAUUAGCUUGUUGGUGGGGUAAAGGCUUACCAAGGCAACGAUCCAUAGCUGGUCUGAGAGGAUGAUCAGCCACACUGGGACUGAGAUACGGCCCAGACUCCUACGGGAGGCAGCAGUGGGGAAUAUUGGACAAUGGGCGAAAGCCUGAUCCAGCAAUGCCGCGUGAGUGAAGAAGGUCUUCGGAUUGUAAAGCUCUUUCACGGGUGAAGAUAAUGACGGUAACCCGAGAAGAAGCCCCGGCUAACUUCGUGCCAGCAGCCGCGGUAAAGUCUGUACU
rnacentral:rRNA from 1 species